ACCUGCGUGGCUUAGUGGGUUAAGUGUCUGACUUCGGCUCAGGUAAUGAUCUUACACUUCGUGGGUUCAAGCCCCGCAUCAGGCU
rnacentral:tRNA from 1 species